UUCGCGUCCUUGGAUAUCUUGGCGUUCGCUGGAAGAGCCUUUUUCAUGAUUCUACUCACGUUGGCGAUGGGAAGGAACCUGUCUUGUUCUCGAGAUAUAAUCUUCGGACUGCUAAUUCAGACGGAGUCGAUGCAGUUGUGAGCUGGACUGAGAGAAGAACGCUACCCUUUUUCAGUAGAAAUUUGAAGGAGAAAAGCUGAAAUUUAACGUCGGGGCUAAAAACCAAAACCGAUUUAUCCCCCUGAAACAAAAGAGAAAUCAAUCGAAAAGCCAAUUGCGGACGAAAUUCAAUCUCAAUCAAUCACAGAUAGAAUUCGAGGGUUCCUUCCUGGUUGAAAUUCCAGUUUGACUAGCACAACAA